rnacentral:rRNA from 1 species
AACGAACGCUGGCGGCAGGCUUAACACAUGCAAGUCGAACGCCUGUAGCAAUACCCGAGUGGCGCACGGGUGAGUAACGCGUGGAUAUCUGCCCUUUGGUUCGGAAUAACCCCGGGAAACUGGGGCCAAUACUGGAUGGUUCCUCCGGGAUAAUGAUUUAUCGCCAAAGGAUGAGUGCGCGUGCGACUAGCUAGUCGGUGGCGUAAUGGCUCACCAAGGCGACGAUCGUUAGCUGGUCUGAGAGGACGAGAAGCCACACGGGGACUGAGACACGGCGCGGACUCGUAGGGGAGGCAGGAGUUGGGGAUAUUGGACCAUGGGGGGAAGCCUGAUCCAGCCAGGCCGCGUGAGUGAUGAAGGCCUUCGAGUUGUAAAGCUCUUUUGGCGGGGAAGAUGAUGACGGUACCCGCAGAAUAAGCCCCGGCUAACUUCGUGCCAGCAGCCGCAGUAACAC